CCCUUAGACGUUCUGGGCCGCACGCGCGCUACACUGACACAGGCAACGAGCUUUCCUUUACCGAAAGGUAUGGGUAAUCUUUUGAAACUGUGUCGUGCUGGGGAUAGAUCCUUGCAAUUUUUGAUCUUAAACGAGGAAUUCCUAGUAAGCGCGAGUCAUCAACUCGCGUUGAUUACGUCCCUGCCCUUUGUACACACCGCCCGUCGCUACUACCGAUUGAAUGAUCCGGUGAAUAAUUCGGACUGCAGCAGUGUUCAGUUCCUGAACGUUGCAGCGGAAAGUUUAGUGAACCUUAUCACUUAGAGGAGGAGAAGUCGUAACA
rnacentral:rRNA from 1 species